CGCCGAAACAUGCUCCUCGGUCUUGGAGGGCUGUACGGCGCAAGCAGCCUCGUCUCCGACCGCAAAGCUAAUGCGGAUCCUAUUGCACCUCCUGACCUGAGCUCGUGCGAACGCCCAAGGUGCGACUACUACUAAGGACGGGCAGGUGGUGAGUCUGGACGUCAACUGCUGCCCACCCUUCACCGAUGUGCAGAAUGACUACAAGCUUCCCAAGUUCAGCAAGCCCCGCGUGAGGCAGUCAGCUCACCGCCUGAGCCCGGCUAACAUAGACAAGUACAACAGAGCCAUGGCGAAGAUGAGGGAGCUGGACGUGACGGACCCCGACGAUCCCCGCGGCUUCACUCAGCAAGCCAACGUCCAUUGCGCUUACUGCAACGGCCCCUACGACCAGGUCGGCUUCCCCGGCGUGGAUCUGCAGGUUCACAACUCCUGGAUCUUCUUCCCCUUCCACAGGUGGUACCUCUAUUUCUACGAGAGGAUCUUGGGCGAACUGAUCGGCGACCCCACCUUCGCCCUGCCCUACUGGAACUGGGACAACCCAAGGGGCAUGAGCAUGCCGCCGGCCUUCGACAACACCGCCUCCGCGCUCUACGACCAGAACCGC
rnacentral:lncRNA from 1 species